UUGGGUUAGGAAAUAUAUAUAUAUAUAUCGGAUUGGGUCACCCAUAGAUCGUUUUACCCAAUGUGAAUGGCAUCAGAUUCUUACCCAAUUAUAGUACAAGUUAACAAAAUAUUAAAUACAAACGUUGGAUAUAUUUACCAUUCGUUGGGGCAGAUUAUCAGUCAUAUCAGACGGUCUGGUCAGGGAUGAGCUGUGGACACAACUGUCUUGUCUGUACAAAAACCCCUCUUUAUAUACCUUUUUGUAUAAUGGUGCGAAUAACUUCUCGAGCGAAUAACAAACGGUACCGUUUGCUUUGGCGCCAUAACUGUGAAGUUCGACUUUGCACUGAUUAUAUAAGUAAAGGAUUUUAAGCCUUAUGGUGGCGGGAAAAUGGGGUUUGGAGAGCCAAGGACAAGGUCGAUUGGUAGAUGGAUGGGUCUCCCAAAAACCAUUUCACAUGGGCUGACUCCAGUUGCUUCAUGGACUGAGGAUCUAAGGGCCAUCAUAAGGAGGGUGUUUACAGUUAAUUGGACAAGGUCUCCUGGAUAGAGCAUCAGCAUUAUUGUGAGAUUUACCCGCCCUAUGUUCUACUUGGAACUCAUAUUGGGAUAAUAAUUCAAACCAACGGGCGAUCUGACCUUCCGGGUUUUUGAAGUUUAGAAGCCAGGCGGUACUGAAUCUGAUGCCAUUGGAGAAGAUUGGAGAUUGGGAGUGGGUAAUUUAU